UACAGAGGGUGCAAGCGUUAAUCGGAAUGACUGGGCGUAAAGCGUGUGUAGGUGGUUAGAUAAGUUAGAUGUGAAAUCCCCGGGCUUAACCUGGGAACUGCGUUUAAGACUGUCUAGCUAGAGUACUGUAGAGGAUAGUGGAAUUUCCAGUGUAGCGGUGAAAUGCGUAGAUAUUGGAAGGAACACCAGUGGCGAAGGCGGCGCUCUGGAACGUUUCUGACACUGAGGCUCGAAAGCGUGGGGAGCAAACAGG
rnacentral:rRNA from 1 species